rfam:Candidatus Nomurabacteria bacterium RIFCSPLOWO2_01_FTLL_46_18 rifcsplowo2_01_scaffold_53751, whole genome shotgun sequence.
GCUAGUGCUUCGUCGCUGGGGUCACACCCGUUCUCAUUCCGAACACGGAAGUUAAGCCCGGUUGAGGCGAUGAUAGUGGAAACGCGAAAGUAGCUAGGCGCUAGCA